CGGGGCUGCAGGCCGCAAGCGGUGGGCCGGGCCUAGGCGCGGGGGCCGCCGGGAGGCCGAGGGCGCCGGGCUGAGGACGGCGGCUCCAUGAGCUGCCAGGUGACGGUGCUGUACUUUGCCAGGAGCGCGGAGCUGGUGGGGCUGCGCUCCGAGAGCGUCUCUGUGCCGCAGCGGAUCACCUCCCUCCAGCUCUGGGAAGAGAUCGUUAAGAUUCAUCCCAGGCUUGCUGUCAUCCGGGAGCAAGUGGUUUUUGCUGUUCGGCAGGAGUACGUGCUUCUUGGAGAUCAACUUCUGGUCCUGCAGACAGGAGACGAAGUUGCAAUCAUCCCACCAAUUAGUGGAGGCUGAAUCUGUGCAAGUUCUGAGAGCCCUUCUAGGGAGCCAUGGUUGAAAGAGAGGAUGUGCCGAAAGAUUUUAUCAAGCUCAAGUCUGAAAAGCUGUCUGUAGAUGAAGUGUCAGAACUGGUCAUUUCACCAUGCUGUGGGGCAGUGUCUCUUUUCAUUGGAGAUUUAUGAGGACAAGUAUUCUUGGAAGGAAAACAAGGAAUGCUUUUGGACAAAUUCAGAAAAAUAACUGUACUCUUUUAUAAAUAAAGUGUUACUGCUCCUAAUGA